AGCUCCAAUAGCGUAUAUUAAAGUUGUUGCGGUAAAAAAGCUCGUAGUUGGAUUUCUGUGGGGCAGGAGCGGUCCAUACCACGUAUGCGUAUCUGUUUCCGGCCCUGCAUCCUGCUGAAGCCCGUUUACUGCGCUUGACUGCGUGGUGCGAGUCUCAGCACGUUUACUUUGAGGAAAUUAGAGUGUUCACGGCAGGCAAUCGCCAGAAUACAUUAGCAUGGAAUAAUAUUAUAGGACUCCGGUUCUAUUUUGUUGGUUUCUAGAAUUGGGGUAAUGAUAAAUAGGGACAAUUGGGGGCAUUCGUAUCAACAUGUCAGAGGUGGAAUUCUUGGAUUAUGUUGCGACGAACUACUGCGAAAGCAUUUGCCAAGGAUGUUUUCAUUUGAUC
rnacentral:rRNA from 1 species